CGGCGGACGGGUGAGUAACGCGUGGGUAACCUGCCUCAUACAGGGGGAUAACAGUUAGAAAUGGCUGCUAAUACCGCAUAAGACCACGGUACUGCAUGGUACAGUGGUAAAAACUCCGGUGGUAUGAGAUGGACCCGCGUCUGAUUAGGUAGUUGGUGAGGUAACGGCCCACCAGGCCGACGAUCAGUAGCCGACCUGAGAGGGUGACCGGCCACAUUGGGACUGGGACACGGUCCAG
rnacentral:rRNA from 1 species